rnacentral:rRNA from 1 species
UACGUAGGCAGCAAGCGUUGUUCGGAGUUACUGGGCGUAAAGGGUGCGUAGGCGGCCGUGUAAGUGUGGUGUGAAAUCUCCCGGCUUAACUGGGAGGGUGCGCUACAGACUGCAUGGCUAGAGUGUGGGAGAGGAAAGUGGAAUUCCUGGUGUAGCGGUGAAAUGCGUAGAUAUCAGGAGGAACACCUGUGGUGUAGACGGCUUUCUGGACCGUAGCUGACGCUGAGACACGAAAGCGUGGGUAGCAAACAGG